UUCGGUUGUUUGCAUGGCACUUUAGCCAUGCGGGUGGCUGUGACGCAGUGCGACUUCGGGGAUGUCUCGUAAAAGGUGCAUGAGUGGUGUUUGGUUUGAUACGGGUGGUUGGCUCCCUGCUUGAGCAGGCACGGCCACGCGUACAUUCCAUUUCAAUUGUGCGACAAGGCUUGUAUCGUCUUGGUCGUAUAGUCGGGUUUCCUGUGUUGCCUACCUGAUCAACGGCAUUGUUUUGAUCAAAAGCGGUACCCUUUUCGUCAGGCGUUGCAACUGCAAUGUCGGAUGAACCAUGUAGCAUCCACUUUGAUCCCUAUAGUCGAUGAGCAUUCGUUGAUUGUUGGGCCCGUUGUGGGUGACUUGGUCUCUUGGAUUUGGAAGCUAAAGUGGGCAUGGGUUCAUAUGAUCCUUUUAUUGCCCUCAUUGAGCGUUCUUGCUCCUCUUAAACGACUGCCUUUCACGUAUGGCAAGUCCCGACGUGUUUGGCUAUGUCGAAGAGGAAUGUUACCUGGUUGAUCCUGCCAGUAGUCAUAUGCUUGUCUCAAAGAUUAA
rnacentral:misc_RNA from 2 species